AGUCCGUCUUCACAGACCUCCACUCCGUACUUCCCACAAGGCCGGAUUCACCGAACCCCAUUCCACGUCCUGAUUUCGGUGGAUAUCUGCGCCCCACAGCCCGGCUCUCCUCAUACAGGGUUUUGCGAAGUCUAUCAGACAUGGCCAAUGGCUGAUGCGUGCACCAAGGGAGACGGAAGAGGAAAAAGCUGAAGAUGCAGGAGGCUCUGCGGCCCUCAUUCUGGAUGAGCCCGAGCUCUCCAUGGGAUCACGGAUGUUGCCAAGGAUUCACCAACACCCCAAAGGUGCUUCAGCCCUCCAAGUGGUGAUACCCAGAGAUCAGACCACAGGCAAGGGGAACUCAGACGAUGCGUCCAGGCAGAAGCUCCACAGAAGACACGGCGAGUGCUGAAGGAGACACCCUGCCCGCUCAGGAGCACAGAGGACCUCAGGAGUCAGCCUCCAGGCCCUGACUCAUCCCCCUUCUGCUUCACACCCCUCACCUCUCUGCAUUCUCCUAAAGCCCAAACCUGUCCCUUCUGAGUCACGGCUGGGCCAAGGUCUACUUGGAUCCCAUCUGCCCACUCUUCCCUUCCUGGGUCUGGCUUAACUAUUUUAGGUUUCUAAUCUAGGUUUCGGCCUCCAUGACAACCAAAAAAGUAAACAGCCUCAAAUAUGACAAGCCCUCCUCUCCCUCUCCCUCUCCCUCCCCCCUCUCUCAUUUCAUCUCUGUCACGCAUAUAAUAUGUAGCACAUAUAUGUGGUGCAUGGAUGUAUAUGCAAGGCGAAUCACAAGAAAAGGAUAGGAAAAAUGUGUAGUUCAAAAGGAAAAUAGUCAGAAAUCUUGGAGAGAGAGAGAGAGAGAGAGAGAGAGAGAGAGAGAGAGAGAAUAUAUCCUAGGGGUAGGCAAAGGAACUCAUAGCUGUCUGUAAUUGGCAGCCACCACAUCCUAAAACAAAAUCAGACUUCCAGAAUAUGCAGCUUGGACACCAUGGCAACAGACCUGAGACCUUCAGGCUGUCUUUCCAAAAUGACUCCUUCCUAGACCAUACCCACAUCAAAGGAGCCUCUUGGACUCCUCCAUGGAAGAGGCAGCACCCAGGGCCCCCUCAGACCUCCACAGGGCUGGGUGAGGGGAAAAAAGCAGGCAGAUGAGAGACAAGUCAGAGGCCUCCAGAGGAGACACAGGCUUGGCGAGGAGCAGCCAAGUGAGACACAGCAGAAGGAGAUGUAGUCAGGUCUUAGGGGCUUCUAUCCUAUGGAUGAGCACACUGCUCAUCCAAGGCUGCCACUGGUAGCAUGUUUCCUUCCUCUCCCUCCUCCUCCUCUUCCUCCUCCUCUUCCUCCUUUUCAUCCUUUUCCUCCUCUUCCUCCUCCUCCUUUUCCUCCUCCUCUCCCUACUCCUCUUCCUCCUCCCUUUUCUCCUCCUCCUCCUCUUCUUCCUCCUUUUUCUCCUCCUCCUCUCCCUCCUCCUCUCCUUCCUCCUCCUCUUCCUCUCCCUCCUCCUCCUUCUCUUCCUCCUCUUCCUCUUCCUGCUCUUCCUCUUCUCCUUCAUCCUCCUCCAGCCCCCCUCUUCCUAUUUAAACUGAAU